UAUUCUUAGAUUAUUUUUUGGACCAUAAACUUUUGAAAGUCUAAUGUUUCCUUCAGAAACAUCAGGUUAAGAAUCUUUAGCUCAGAGAAGUGGUGAAAGGAGCCUAUCUAGUUCGCUAGGCUCCUCUUCCUUUCUGCACCCAAUAAUCCCUUAUUGCAGCUGUCUCCCCCUCAUCCUCCAUCUUCAGCUAGGGUCUUGCUCCUUUAAUGAUCUCUAAUCAUUCAGGGGAUGAUGACCUUUACCUGUGUCUUCUGGGAUUUUUCUGAGUUACUUGCCCUGCCUUAUCAGUGAAUAUAUCUAGUUUAUAAUUCACGACUCCUCCUGACCACCCCUCCUACUGCAACUUUAUGACUAUUUGAACUGACCAACAAUAAACUUUUUCCUAAUGUGCUAGAAGGAUCAACAAGAGGAACAAGUAGAAGACAGAGGACCUCCCUUCAUCUGUACUGCUGACAUAGAAAUGAAAGAGCCUUUGUGAAAGACUAUGGAGUGUGCUAUUGGCACAUACAUGAGGAUAAAAUUAUUGCAUAUUACAUAAAUAUAUCCAUGGUGUCAUUGGCUUUAAGCCCAAGAAGCUUAAAUCUAUACCAUCUGGAUGAGGAGCGCAAAUGUGCAGUGGGACAUUAGCUGCAAUAGGAACAAACUACAGAAUUGGCCUCUUGGUUCUGAG